ACGAACGCUGGCGGCACGCUUAACACAUGCAAGUCGAACGGCAACGGGUCCUUCGGGAUGCCGGCGAGUGGCGAACGGGUGAGUAACACGUGGAGACCUACCCUGGGGUGGGGGAUAACAGCUAGAAAUGGCUGCUAAUACCGCAUACGCCUUACGAGGGAAAGAUUUAUCGGGGUUUGAUGAGCCCGCGUUGGAUUAGCUAGUUGGUGGGGUAAAGGCCUACCAAGGCGACGAUCCAUAGCUGGUCUGAGAGGAUGAUCAGCCACAUUGGGACUGAGACACGGCCCAAACUCCUACGGGAGGCAGCAGUGGGGAAUAUUGGACAAUGGGCGCAAGCCUGAUCCAGCCAUGCCGCGUGAGUGAUGAAGGUCUUAGGAUUGUAAAGCUCUUUCACCGGAGAAGAUAAUGACGGUAUCCGGAGAAGAAGCCCCGGCUAACUUCGU
rnacentral:rRNA from 1 species